AUUGAACGCUGGCGGCAGGCCUAACACAUGCAAGUCGAACGGUAACAGGAAGCAGCUUGCUGCUUCGCUGACGAGUGGCGGGCGGGUGAGUAAUGUCUGGGAAACUGCCUGAUGGAGGGGGAUAACUACUGGAAACGGUAGCUAAUACCGCAUAACGUCGCAAGACCAAAGAGGGGGACCUUAGGGCCUCUUGCCAUCGGAUGUGCCCAGAUGGGAUUAGCUAGUAGGUGGGGUAACGGCUCACCUAGGCGACGAUCCCUAGCUGGUCUGAGAGGAUGACCAGCCACACUGGAACUGAGACACGGUCCAGACUCCUACGGGAGGCAGCAGUGGGGAAUAUUGCACAAUGGGCGCAAGCCUGAUGCAGCCAUGCCGCGUGUAUGAAGAAGGCCUUCGGGUUGUAAAGUACUUUCAGCGGGGAGGAAGGGAGUAAAGUUAAUACCUGUGCUCAUUGACGUUACCCGCAGAAGAAGCACCGGCUAACUCCGUG
rnacentral:rRNA from 1 species